AACGAACGCUGGCGGCAUGCCUAACACAUGCAAGUCGAACGAGACCUUCGGGUCUAGUGGCGCACGGGUGCGUACGCGUGGGAACCUGCCCUUAGGUUCGGAAUAAAUCCCCGAAAGGGGUGCUAAUACCGGAUAAUGUCUUCGGACCAAAGAUUUAUCGCCUUUGGAUGGGCCCGCGUUGGAUUAGCUAGUUGGUAGGGUAAAAGCCUACCAAGGCGACGAUCCAUAGCUGGUCUGAGAGGAUGAUCAGCCACACUGGGACUGAGACACGGCCCAGACUCCUACGGGAGGCAGCAGUGGGGAAUAUUGGACAAUGGGCGAAAGCCUGAUCCAGCAAUGCCGCGUGAGUGAUGAAGGCCUUAGGGUUGUAAAGCUCUUUUACCCGGGAUGAUAAUGACAGUACCGGGAGAAUAAGCUCCGGCUAACUCCGUG
rnacentral:rRNA from 1 species